AGUCUUUGUGGAGCACGGUGUCCAAGUCCCUUGGAACAGGGCGCCUGAAAGGGUGAGAGCCCCGUGGGGUGCCGUGCGAAGCUCUGAGGCCCUGCUGACGAGUCGAGUUGUUUGGGAAUGCAGCUCCCAGUGGGUGGUAAAUUCCAUCUAAGGCUAAAUACUGGCGAGAGACCGAUAGCGAACAAGUACUGUGAAGGAAAGAUGAAAAGCACUUUGAAAAGAGAGUGAAACAGCACGUGAAAUUGUUGAAAGGGAAGGGUAUUGGGCCCGACAUGGGGAGUGCGCACCGCUGUCUCUUGUAGGCGGCGCUCUGGGCGCUCUCUGGGCCAGCAUCGGUUCUUGCUGCGGGAGAAUGGG
rnacentral:rRNA from 1 species